GGCUAUGUUCUUAACACUGAACUUCCCUGUGUACACUUUAGCUCAGGCCUUAUACCUGGUCUGCAUUGUGAAUAGGGAGACAUGG
ensembl:snoRNA